UACGAAGGGGGCUAGCGUUGCUCGGAAUUACUGGGCGUAAAGGGCGCGUAGGCGGACAGUUAAGUCGGGGGUGAAAGCCCGGGGCUCAACCUCGGAAUUGCCUUCGAUACUGGCUGUCUUGAGUGCGGGAGAGGUGUGUGGAACUCCGAGUGUAGAGGUGAAAUUCGUAGAUAUUCGGAAGAACACCAGUGGCGAAGGCGACACACUGGCCCGUUACUGACGCUGAGGUGCGAAAGCGUGGGGAGCAAACAGG
rnacentral:rRNA from 1 species